CGGCCUCAUCUAUCACGAAAGCUGAGCUCCCGAAGACAAGCAGCCUCCGUAAAAAUAGAGGUUUGCCAGAUUGGCAAGAGAGGAACUAUCAGAGCUGGAUUAGUGAAAGCCAACUAUAGUUGAGGUGGAGGCAAGAUGAGAUUAAUGAAGAUUGUUCCGAUGCAUAUAAAGAAGACCCAUUAAGGAGAGUGAGGUAUUGAAUCGAUGAAAAUGCUCCUCAGCUAUGUUUGAGGAAUGGCGCAUAAUUUUGAAAAGAUGAUAACAGCUGAAUUGGUACCCUCUCCGGAAAUUUCCAUAUUUCGCCAUGUCUCUAAGAAAAUGAUUGAUAUAUGAUAAAUGUAUUGGAAAAAUUUGAC